rnacentral:sRNA from 1 species
GAAGACCCCCUCACCCCUUCCCGACCCCUCUCCAUCGUUUUCCUCUCCCUCUCAGGCUGCCUUUUCUCUUCCUGCGUCUUAUUUGCACGAUGGCUCCUAUGCCUGGUAGUGCUGUGUUCUUUUCUGCUUCCAUCACACCUGCCUUUAACGGCCUCUGCUCUUCUCUCAGAAGAGAAAGAAAUGUGACAAGCCAUCUCUCCCACCCCCCGGAGAUCCCUUGAGACCCUCGCCUCCUAGCCCCAGGCACCAGCAAGCCCAUUCCACGCUCCACCAACUUGCCUCCCACCCAGCUCCUCACCCAAACUCCUCUUCCAGCUACUGCAGCCUUUUUGCCCUUCCAUCCCACCGGUCUCGUACAUCCUAGCCGCGGUCGGCUCGAGUCUCCCAGGCUAGUGUCUCUAGGACUCACCGCCCCAUUGUUCCAUUAGCUUUUUUUUUCUUUCUUUCUCGGGUUUCCAUACUAACUCGGCUUGGUGGGCCCAGAUUUCUGUCACUUCGCAGCCCCUGAAGUGUUUUUUUUUCCCCCCGUCCCAUUUCUUUCUGGUUUCCUUCCCUUUCUAUCUACCUUUUCGGUUAUCUUUGCCUUUCUAGCUUCCGUUAAGUUCCUUUGACUUCUUGUCACCUCCUUCCUUCAGUACUAUACCCAGUUAUUCGGCUUUUAUUCCAUUUACGUUUGUGGGGAGUAGAAACAAAGGGAUUCAGUGUGGUGUGGGGAAAGCUUUGUGGGAAGUUACUGUUUUUAUUUGUCAUCAUUAUAUUGUCUGAGUUUUGAAGUUGUAUGAGUUGUGUAUGUUCGACCUUCCCCCUUUUUAAUCCAUAUGAGGAUAUGCGAAAGGGCUUUGCUGGUUUUGGUAUCAGUUCCUGGAACUGUUAACAUUGGCGGUUUGAAUUGAGAAGCGUGAGUGUGAUGUGUUGGGAUUCGAAAUGGAUUAAUAUAUUUAAGUACAAAUAAUCAGGUUUGGAAACGUUUUAAUUUAUGCUAGUCGUAUUUUGGAUAACCAUCUUGCUUAAGCGGCAUAAUGUAACUCCAGCACUAACUUGGGUACAAUUAAUAGGGCAAACUCCUCCCAAUUGUUUUCUAACCUGGGAGCCACCUGUAAAAUCACCUCCUUUUUCUUGCUGCUCCUUUGCCCUAGGGUACAAAGCUUAGUGGAUCACUCAAUCCACUUGAAUCAGUGAAAUGUUUCAGGAAAAAAUAGUGAUAAAGGCAAGGAUAGUAAAUUCUCUUUUUAAAUGACCCCCGGACACAUUAGCUAAACUGACUUUCAUCAUACAUGAAAGUUGCUUUGCCCUGUGAAGCAAGAGUGAGCUUGUCCUGAAAGGGAAUUCGCUGUAAGGAAUCUUGUUUCUCAUUUGGACUUUGGCUGUGAGGUUUGCACUUGAAAAAAAAUACGUGUGAAUUCUAAGAUACAUUGCUCAUGAAGUGCUGUUAGAACAAGUUAUGGCCACAGACAAACCCAUUAUCCAUUGUGAUUUGUUCCCUCGUGGAAAAGUUUUAUAAAAGUCAUUUUGGUUGGCUGUGGCUCUCAUACAGGCUGCUUUUUUAAUUGACCCUGUUUAGAAAAGUGGAAGAUAUAUUUAAAUGGUGACACUUCUAUAAACAUCUUUAGGAUAUUGUGAAUAAAUUGUAAAUGGGUUUUGAAAAUAUAUACUUGGAGAAGAUGGUUUUGUUUACAUCCUUUUGAAAAUCUACCCAUCGGAUCCUUUUUUCCAUGGAUCCAGUUCUAGGCUUGUCUCAAAUUUGCCUGUGUAGCCCAAGCUGGCCUUGAACUUGAGACCUUAGUUCUGCCUCAGCCCUCCACAAUGCUGGGUUGAUUCUGUGGUACAAAACCCUACUGUUUUUGUGUCAGUUAGUGCUGUUUGUGGGUUUUCAUUUGUUUUUGUGUCUUGGUGUGGAGGGGGCAGAAGAUACUUGGUAAUAUGUGAAAUGUUCUUCCUUAAUGCAAAGUGAUGUCGUAGCAGUAGACACAGCGUUGAAAUGAACUGGUUAUAAAGUGCAUCUUAGAAUGGGUAGAAUGGGGUUGGCUCCUUUUUUCUUCUUGAGGUUAGAAACAAAGGUUGUAUAGUUAGUGACCUUUUGUAAUAGUCACUAUGAAACUAGUUGGUGUUUAAGGAUAACCUAACUUUUUCUCCAUUACAGCUGUUUACAAACUCCCAUACUUUUAGAGCUUGAAUAUACUUAGUAAUGUUUUUUAAUACUAGCUUAUUAAAAAAAAGUAAGGUGCUUCUUGUUUCUUCUUAAUGAAGUUUUAAAAUGAUAAUACUAUUUUUCUUUUAUCGUAAGCUGUUUCUCACUAAUGCUUUAGGAAAAUCUCACUAAUGACUGGAUUACAACCCUCCCUUGACAGUUCAACAUGCUUUGAGAAGUUAUCCAGAGACAGUUUUUGGUGUCAAUGUCCUGAACUUCAGACUAUAUAUAAUAGAGAUAUGUAUCAUUUCAAGUAAUAUUUGACUAAGAAUUUUUCUUAGUUUUGAAAACUUAGUUCUCAAUGACUUAAUGUCUUCAACUACUGUCUGCUUCUUUGAAUUGAGUAGAAACAAUUUCAUUUUUAAAAUGGUAGCAUUUAACAAAAAUAUGUCUAGUAAUUUGCCUUUCCUAUAAAUCCUUUAGCAUGUGGAGGUGGCUUUUGUGUCAAUUCCUUGACAAGAUAUUUUUCCAUAUUAGGGAGUGAUUGUUGUCCAUAAAUUGUCAAUUCAAAUUACAUUGUAUUGUAUGCUUAUUGAAGGGUUUUUUUUUUUUUGGCCUAUAGGUAUUGUGAAUAAAAGUAUUUUAAUGUUCCUGCUGUAAAGUCUUUUAACUCAAUAGAUUUUCAUUUAAAUUCAGGCUUCUAAUGGCCAUUUAUAAUCAAGAUAGAAGAGCAUAACCCUUAAAAUUUUUGAGACAGCUAUCUUCCCACUCAGAUCCAUAGCUGUUCAAGUCCUUUAUAUAUAGUGUUAGCACAUAACCUACACAAGCAUAUCCAUAUUACCUAUACCUGUGUGAUGUAAAUGCUAUGUAAAUAGUUCUAGUGUAUGUCUAGGGAACAAUGAAAAAAAAUGUGUGUAAUUCAGAUUUUCUUUUCUACCAAAUGGUUUUGAUCUGAUGUUGUGGAACCCAUGUAAACAGAGGGCCAACUGUAUUUAAUACAAACUCUGAAGAGAGCUGACAUUAAUUCUUUAUAGUUGUUCUGUUUGUGGUUAGCCAAA